rnacentral:lncRNA from 7 species
AAAUUUCUGUGGGAGUGGAGAAGAAAGAGGAAAGGUAUUUUGAGUUCCUUGACUCUUUUCUCGUUGCUCUUCACCCAGACUGCUUGUUUUCUGUCCUUCCUACAUGGAAAUGCCUCUCUGCUCCUGAGAGGGAUAUAAGAUUUCCUUCACUCUCCUUAGCUGCUCUACCUAAGAGUGAGGAAUGGGAGGCAGAACCAUAGGGGAAGAUUCUUCUGGGCCUUGAUGGAGUUCCAGAGAAGAAAGAAACGUCUUUCCUGGUGAAGGAAAACAUUGGCAGCAUGAAUUAUUGCCAAUACCAACUGUUGAGAAAAAGACAAACAGUGAGGCAGAUUUCAACAAACUAGAGAUUAAAAGCGUGCCUCUGGAUUGUGUUAAUGGCCUCCUGCUGCUUCAGCUUGCUGUGUAGGGAAGGGCUGGAGCUGUGUGGGAAGGGAUGGACUAGUUGUUACCUUUAAUGGCUUUCUUUAUCUAUCACAAGGAUUGAAAGUGUUGUUUUGAAAAUUGGAAGCCGAUGGUCUUACUCAGUCCUCUGUCUUCAGGACCUGCAGUAAAAGAUUUAAAGAUAUUUAACCACUGGAUGAAAUGUGCCUGGGCACCCCGACAGAGACCAGAAAUGCACAAUAAAGAACAAUGCUUCUGUCGUGAAGUUAUUUACAGUGUAUAAACUUGGAGCUCAAUGAGGUAAAUGGGGAAGCUGGAAUUCACAAACAUCACUGCAAAUCCCAUCAACAGUUAAAGACAACAGGUCUGAAACGCUCCUCAGUGUGUAUGAAACUGACUGUGCAAACACUAAACAGUCACUUUGGGUAAAAUGACAUUUGCAACUUAGAGGCAAGGAUAGUUACAGAAAUUAUUCCAUUUGAGCAAAUUCACCUUUACCAGAAAGACCCUACUGAGUCAUUUGAAACUUCAUAUCUGACAAGGGAGUGGGAAAACCAGCUAAGAGCACCCUGAAGCAACCAGGAUCUCUUGGUCAAGUGCAAGAGCUGGGUUGUAACAACAAAAGGGGCUGCUACGUGGCAACUGAUGAGAAGCAGGAGCGUGUUUGGCUUACAGCAGCACUAAAGUAAACAGGAAAUUGCACACAGAAUCUGACCCUCCCUUCAGCCUGUUUUUUGAAGAAUUAGCAGAUUCUUGUCUCUGAGCAUAAGGCAGUUUUUUCAGCCUUCCAUUCAUCUUGGUGGCUCUUUGCUGCAGGCUCCGUACCCUUUCAAGUCCCCGUGAAAAUCAGGAUACCAGAAUUACUUGCUGGUGUCUAUGUUGACAACUGAGCUAAAUUUAAUUUUCUGCUCCUCUGAUUAUAUACCCAGGAUCUAGGCUGCUGGCACUGCCCCAGGUAACUGCUGCUCCUUGUCUGGUGUCACCUCUCAAGCUGCCAUAAGGGAGUUGUUGUUCCUGAAGAUCCUGUUGCCUACCCCAUGACGAUGGCCUGGCUUUUGUCUUGUUGUGGUUCUUUGAUGUGCAACCUCAUUUGGCUAUGGCAUCACAGCACAUUUUGGCUGUAACCCCACACCCGAUGGAGGGCACACCCAGAACUGCUCAUGGAUUCUCCAGUCUGGAGAUGAGGGUUGAAGCACAGGUUCACUGAGUGAUGGAAGUUGUUCUGCAUCACUGUCCCUUCCUCAUCAUUGUGAACCUCUUCAUCAUUUAUCCGUGUUGCUAGAAAUAAUUUUUAUAUACUUCUCAGCUGAGAAAGUUCAACUCUAAUAUAAAUACCUGCAAAACAAUACUGGAAAUGACCCCUUGGCAAAUAAUUUAAUAGUUUAAGGCAUUUAGUGUGUUGUAUUGGUAGCUCUCACCCAUGUGUCACACAGGACUCCUUUAAGGAGAAUCCAAGCAUAUCUCUUCUUCUGUCAAGCUGCUUUAUCAUGCAAACUGGUAAUCCUGUCAAGAAAGGAAAUCAGAUUUUUUUACAAACAGAUUGAUUUUCCAUAAAGCUAUGUGGAUCAGCAUUAAUUAAACUCUCUGACUCUGCUUCCUCUUCCAUUUUCAAGGCCUUUUGUUAUUUUUUAUUUGCUAAUGUCAGGCUCAAUAGCUGAAGUUAGGCUGCUGCUGACACAGAAUCAGCAUGUUCCCACGCUUCUGGGAUUUGCAUGGUGCUCUGAGAUCUCUACAAAAUUACUAUCAGAAAAGGUCAUUUUUCUUUUUUGCUAACACUAAUCAAAACUCUCACUCGUCUUGAAUAGCUUGCCAUCUCCCUCUAGCAAUUGGAUGGUAUCACAGAUAGUAUUUUGCUACUGGUAGAUGGAAAACAGGCUAUCCUGCUUCUCAGCAGAGCCAUCCAGCACAGCACCCUGUCACCAGCAGUGCACGAAAGCAAUUGCUGAGGAAAGCUGAUAAGCACAGGUGAACAGCCCCAAGUGCUCUGCCAACAGCCAGCCACAAUACUCAUACUUUCUCUUGUAUUGCUACACAGUGUAUUUUCUAAUUUGUAUUACUUGCCUUUACAAUCCCUACAUUCACUAUUAUGUGUAUGUCCAUAGGUGUAUACAAUCUCACAAGCUUCCACUAUCGUUAUUAAAAUCUUAAAGAAU